rnacentral:rRNA from 1 species
GGGGUACACGAGCGGCGAACGGGUGAGUAACACGUGGGUGACCUGCCCUCCACUCCGGGAUAAGCCUGGGAAACCGGGUCUAAUACCGGAUAGGACCUCUGGGUGCAUGCCUGGGGGUGGAAAGUUUUUUCGGUGGGGGAUGGGCCCGCGGUCUAUCAGCUUGUUGGUGGGGUGAUGGCCUACCAAGGCGACGACGGAUAGCCGGCCUGAGAGGGUGAUCGGCCACACUGGGACUGAGACACGGCCCAGACUCCUACGGGAGGCAGCAGUGGGGAAUCUUGCGCAAUGGGCGGAAGCCUGACGCAGCAACGCCGCGUGAGGGAUGACGGCCUUCGGGUUGUAAACCUCUUUCGCGAUCGACGAAGGUCCGGUUUUUGCCGGGCUGACGGUAGGUCGAGAAGAAGCACCGGCCAACUACGUGCCAGCAGCCGCGGUAAUACGUAGGGUGCGAGCGUUGUCCGGAAUUAUUGGGCGUAAAGAGCUCGUAGGCGGUGUGUCGCGUCGGCCGUGAAAACCUGGGGCUCAACUCUGGGCGUGCGGUCGAUACGGGCAUCACUUGAGUUCGGCAGGGGAGACUGGAAUUCCUGGUGUAGCGGUGAAAUGCGCAGAUAUCAGGAGGAACACCGGUGGCGAAGGCGGGUCUCUGGGCCGAUACUGACGCUGAGGAGCGAAAGCAUGGGUAGCGAACAGGAUUAGAUACCCUGGUAGUCCAUGCCGUAAACGUUGGGCGCUAGGUGUGGGGUCCAUUCCACGGGUUCCGUGCCGCAGCUAACGCAUUAAGCGCCCCGCCUGG